rnacentral:lncRNA from 1 species
AACAUAGGUUCGAUAUUUCGGUUACGGUAACAGUUUACAUCACAAUUGCCUUGAUAUUGUACUGUUUGUGGUAGUUACUAUUUGGAUUUUGAUUUCAACUCGGUUGCAUUGCAUAUGCUGAUUGGAUUGUAUAGGAUAUGUACAUGCUUAAUUGUUUUGAUUCUAAGUGUUUAAGCUGGUUAAAUUAGCGGACCAUUUUGAAGUUAUUAUUUGGGUAAUUGUUUUGCUAUGUACCCUAUACCAUUUUGAUUCUGAGUGUGGAAAUUGUUUUGCUCCAUACCAUUUUGAAUAGGGUAUGUACUGUUGAUCAUUUUACUCUUGUUAUUAGCUUCUAUGGUGUUUUGACACCCUUGGAUUUUAAUUGAGCAGCUGGUAUUCUUUAUAAUACUUUAUGUUAACCAUGACCCGUUGCAACAAUAGAUUCUAAAUGACGAAAAGAUAGAGUUUCGGGUCUUAGUUAAUGUUGGUUAUACUAAUAUAAUUCUUGUUUGCUUAAAUAAAGUGUCAAACAUUUCAUCUUUUUGUAAUGUGCAUGUGUUUAUAGUUUGAGUUUUCGAUUUGUA